CGGGCCGUAAUAUAAUGGUAGUAUACAGAGCUGGGGGUUCUGCAGCCCGGGUUCGAUCCCCGGCGGCCCGA
rnacentral:tRNA from 1 species